UAGUAACGGCGAGUGAAGCGGGAUGAGCUCAAGCUUAAAAUCUCUGUCACAAAUUUAUUUUGUGCGGCGAAUUGUAGUCUAUAGAGGCGUGAUCAGUGUAGGUACUUGAGAUAAGUUUCUUGAAAAAGAACAGCAUGGAGGGUGACACUCCCGUUCAUACUUAAGUGGCUUGCACGUACGAUCCGUUUUCUUUGAGUCGCGUUGUUUGAGAAUGCAGCGCAAAGUAGGUGGUAAAUUCCAUCUAAAGCUAAAUAUUGGUGCGAGACCGAUAGCGAACAAGUACCGUGAGGGAAAGAUGAAAAGAACUCUGAAAAGAGAGUUAAAGAGUACCUGAAACUGCUGAAAGGGAACCGAAUCGUUUCUAGUGUCUAUAAUCUAUGACAUAUUCCAUUGGGAAGUGUGUGCGUGUGUAUACUAUGGCAGCGGCUUUUUUUAAGCUGCGCUUGGUGUGCGUGCUGUAUGUGCUAACUGGUGCCCUGUGUUAUAGUGGGACGUCAAGGUCAGUUUGUAUGCUGCGGGAAAUGGCUACUAGGGAGGUAGGGCUUACGCUUGCGUUUGUCUAUUAUAUCUUGGUAGUUGUGUCGUGGUUGAGACUGAGGUGUUCUACAACGUGCUUAUGAGUGGGUCUGUGUCUCCGUGUGCGCCGUGUGCAGAUAGCUUGCUAUGUGUGUGUGGUGGUGUGUGGAUUGAUG
rnacentral:rRNA from 1 species